AAAGGCUCGUCAUGAGACAUUUGGUUUUGAAAACCAGACUUAGGAGGUUCAUCCCUUCAGCCUUUGCCA
rnacentral:tRNA from 1 species